AGUGAACGCUGGCGGUAGGCCUAACACAUGCAAGUCGAACGGCAGCACAGUAAGAGCUUGCUCUUACGGGUGGCGAGUGGCGGACGGGUGAGGAAUACAUCGGAAUCUACUUUUUCGUGGGGGUUAACGUAGGGAAACUUACGCUAAUACCGCAUACGACCUACGGGUGAAAGCAGGGGAUCUUCGGACCUUGCGCGAUUGAAUGAGCCGAUGUCGGAUUAGCUAGUUGGCGGGGUAAAGGCCCACCAAGGCGACGAUCCGUAGCUGGUCUGAGAGGAUGGUCGGCCACACUGGAACUGAGACGCGGUCAAGACUCCUACGAGAGGCAGCAGUGGGGAAUAUUGGACAGUGGGCGCGAGCCUGAUCCAGCCAUACCGCGUGGGUGAAGAAGGCCUUCGGGUUGUAAAGCCCUUUUGUUGGGAAAGAAAAGCAGCAGGUUAAUACCCCGCUGUUCUGACGGUACCCAAAGAAUAAGCACCGGCUAACUUCGUG
rnacentral:rRNA from 1 species